CUGGCCUCAACUAUACUCUUCAUCAUUAUAAAUAGAGAGCUAUAAGCUUACUUUAAGUACUCGUCGCACUAUCUUCUAAUCAACAACUCCCAGGCCUAAACAAAUUCAAGACAAAAUUUAGAUAUUAUAUUGAAAUUGGUUAGAUUAUUCUUAUAUAAAAACUGAUUCUGCCUCUUUAUGCAAGAUCUAUAUUCAUGCUGAAAUAUUUAAGCUGUUUAAAAUGGCACAUGUAUGAGCAAUUAAAAGUGAUUUAUAAUGUUGAAAACUAUUCUAAUUCGGAUAAAAAUCACGAUGAAAGUAUUUUCUUAAACCGUGCCAUUUUUUAUUCUUUGUCUUCUUUGUAUUGAGAGAAAACCUGUCUCACUGUGAACUGUUUAAAGAAAAAACAGCAAAGAAAAUAACUAACUUUAUUAUAGUAAAAGUGGAUACGAUUUAGUCUGCGAUGAGAUUGAAAACUCAAUGCAGUAGAUGUACCAUAACAGCAACCUGCACAUAAUUUUAGUGGCGGGUUUUCCUUCGAAGUCAAAAGCACUGCCUUCUUUCUUUACAAUUGAGGUUACUAUAGGACAGGGGCUACAGAAAAGUUGUCUGACAUCUUAAGAUUAGUUUCUACUGCUGGUACGAGAAAUUAAAGAAAGAAAUUUUCAUUGCCUAAAGACUAUAAUAAUAAUAUUACAUGGGCUGCCCUUCUCAGUUCGAUAUACAUGCCCAAUGUUUCAUGACACUAGAAGUUAAUAUAAGAUAAUAGCCAAGAAAAAGCUUGUCUGACAUCUUAAAACUAAUUUCUACUAUCGCUGUGGAAAACUGAAGAAAGGAAUUUGCCUAAAGACUAUAUUAAUAUUGCAUGAUAUUUCUUUGUUAAUCAUUUCAUUGUAUAACUUAGAUGAGGUAAUAAGAGCAUAAAUGCAUUUGUUUCUUAAUUACUGCUGAUAGAUUAAACUGCUUUUAGAUUUUUUUAAAAAUUAUAAUAUCUAAUAAUAUUGAAAUUCACACCAGUAACUUAAACAUUAGCAAAACAUUGUUCUUGUAAAAUAUUUAUUGUAGCUUAUCUAUUAUAUCUAUUUUUACCUGGCGUAAGAUAGUACAUCCUUAUAAAACCUUGCAAUUGCAGUUCAUAUAAAAGGCAUCAACAAGAUUAUUUAGCUGUUGAUAUAAGGUGAC
rnacentral:misc_RNA from 1 species